rnacentral:misc_RNA from 1 species
GUCAUGUCCACAUCAUCAAUAUUUCUGCAAAAAGAUCAACCAUUUUGACAUUACUUAUCAUACUGCUACUACAACUUCGACAAAAGCCAGAGUUCAUGUUUCAAAUAUAUCUCACAGAUCCAUUCCUCUAAUGAGAUGAAGUAAAAUGAGCAGUUAUAGAUGUUUCCAUGCCAACAAUCAUUCAGACGGCAACAUGAGUGAGACGUGACAUCCAAAUAUUUCAUAUUGCCAGAUUAAACGAGCCCUCUUAAGCACAGAAAACAAGGAAAAUGAAGAUACUACAACUAACAUGAGAUGUAAAUCUAGAAAGCGAUUUUUUUUUUUUUGGGAAACAAAGUGAAGAUUCUAAUGAGAUGCUGAAUUAAAUAAAUUGCUACAUACGUUGCCUUCUGCAUUGCCUUCAU